GAACCGGAGAGUUUGAUCAUGGCUCAGAUUGAACGCUGGCGGUAGGCUUAACACAUGCAAGUCGGACGGCAGCAGACCGUAACAAUCCCUUCGGGGUGCGUUUGGUGCUGGCGAGUGGCGGACGGGUGAGUAAUACGUAGGAAUCUGCCCAACAGUGGGGGACAACCCGAGGAAACUCGGGCUAAUACCGCAUACGCCCUACGGGGGAAAGCGGGGGACUUUAGGGCCUCGCGCUGUUGGAUGAGCCUGCGGCGGAUUAGCUUGUUGGUGAGGUAAGAGCUCACCAAGGCGACGAUCCGUAGCUGGUCUGAGAGGAUGAUCAGCCACACUGGGACUGAGACACGGCCCAGACUCCUACGGGAGGCAGCAGUGG
rnacentral:rRNA from 1 species